AAUAUGAUGAUAUUAAUUGGUCCGUGUUUAUGAUUUGAUAUGAUUCGAUUUCUCCAAUUCCUGAUUCAU